AACGAACGCUGGCGGCAUGCCUAACACAUGCAAGUCGAACGAGACCUUCGGGUCUAGUGGCGCACGGGUGCGUAACGCGUGGGAACCUGCCCUUAGGUUCGGAAUAACUCCCCGAAAGGGGUGCUAAUACCGGAUAAUGUCUUCGGACCAAAGAUUUAUCGCCUUUGGAUGGGCCCGCGUUGGAUUAGCUAGUUGGUAGGGUAAAAGCCUACCAAGGCGACGAUCCAUAGCUGGUCUGAGAGGAUGAUCAGCCACACUGGGACUGAGACACGGCCCAGACUCCUACGGGAGGCAGCAGUGGGGAAUAUUGGACAAUGGGCGAAAGCCUGAUCCAGCAAUGCCGCGUGAAUGAUGAAGGCCUUAGGGUUGUAAAGCUCUUUUACCCGGGAUGAUAAUGACAGUACCGGGAGAAUAAGCACCGGCUAACUCCGUG
rnacentral:rRNA from 1 species